rnacentral:rRNA from 1 species
UACAGAGGGUGCAAGCGUUAAUCGGAAUUACUGGGCGUAAAGCGUGCGUAGACGGUUAUGUAAGUCGGGUGUGAAAGCCCCGGGCUCAACCUGGGAAUGCCAUUCGAGACUGCAUAGCUAGGGUGCGGAAGAGGGAAGCGGAAUUUCCGGUGUAGCGGUGAAAUGCGUAGAUAUCGGGAGGAACACCGGUGGCGAAGGCGGCGACCUGGUUCGAUACUGACACUGAGGUGCGAAAGCGUGGGGAGCAAACAGG